GUCUACGGCCACGCCACCCUGAACAAGCCCGAUGUCUGAUCUCGGAAGCUAAGCAGGGUCGUGCCUGGUUAGUACUUGGAUGGGAGACCACCUAGGAAGACCAGGUGCUGUAGGCA
rnacentral:rRNA from 1 species